CGGGGGAUCCCCGGGUGGGAGGUCCUUUAUCUCCACACUCUUGCGCAGGAGGGUGACCGUGGUUGCAGCGGGUGGCGCUCACGGUCAGGGGUUUGCUCGUGUUGGCUAAGAGGCUUUACCCGGAGGGAUUAAGCAUAUCAAUAAGCGGAGGAAAAGAAACCAACAGGGAUUGCCUCAGUAACUGCGAGUGAAGCGGCAAAAGCUCAAAUUUGAAAUCUGGCCCGUCUCCGGCGGCCCGAGUUGUAAUUUGGAGGGGCAUCUUCAGGGGUGGGCGCCGUCCUAAGUUCCUUGGAACAGGACGUCACAGAGGGUGAGAAUCCCGUGCCUGGGCGGCAGUCCCGCUCCAUGUGAAGUGUCUCCGACGAGUCGAGUUGUUUGGGAAUGCAGCUCAAAAUGGGUGGUAAAUUUCAUCUAAAGCUAAAUAUUGGCGAGAGACCGAUAGCGCACAAGUAGAGUGAUCGAAAGAUGAAAAGCACUUUGAAAAGAGAGUUAAAAAGUACGUGAAAUUGUUGAAAGGGAAGCGCUUGAGAUCAGACUCGUCGGACGGCAACCAUCGGUGCUUCUGUGCCGUGCACUUGCCGACCGACGGGCCAGCAUCGGUUCCGGCGGCGGGAAAAAGGCCCGGGCAAUGUGGCUCUCUUCGGGGAGUGUUAUAGGCCCGGGUGUCAUACCGCCUGCUGGGACCGAGGACCGCGCUUCGGCUAGGAUGCUGGCGUAAUGGUCUUAAGCGACCCGUCUGAAAUCACGACCUGGAGCUCGAAUAGUC
rnacentral:rRNA from 1 species